rnacentral:lncRNA from 1 species
ACUAAAAGUAUCUAUAGGGACUUUAGUGGGUCCAUGAUUAUCGUAAUAUUCCUGAAGUCGCUUCCCCACCUUAUUCCAUACUUCUAAAUCUACUGUGCCUUCUUCAGGGAACCAAGGACAAACUUUCUCUACAAAUUCUAAAAAAUUACAUAAUUGUUGAUGCCCUACCUUUGCUCCACGAGACCGAAGCAUAUUUUUAAGCAUAUGUUCAAAAAGCAUUCAGCUGUUACCAAUACCCAUCUUGCUACUCUCGAGUGCAUUCACCGCCCUUAAUUUACUUAUCCGAGCUCACGACCCGCGGUGUCCCUCACUAUGGUCCCCGUAUUCAGGUCCCUGUUCGGGCGCCACCCGUGACGGAGCCCGCCCGUCACUUGUCGAACAGUACCUGAAUGGGAGAGUGAGGAUGAAGAAAAAUAAAGACAAAGAGAUAGAGUCAGGAGGGCUCCCAGAGACCGAGUGCCCAAGUUUUUCUCCUCUCUUUUCUACAACAGAAACUCCUUGAAGUUUCUGAAUCCACCAUCAACAUUCUUUUAAGAAUCAACUUUUUUGAAGUUGAACCCAACCAAAAUAGCAUAUACUCAAAUAUAUGUUUUUGAUGAGUUUUGACAAAAGCACACACCCAUUUGACCUCCACCAUGAUCAAGAUUCAAGAUACUUUCUUCACCUCUCAUGCUAAUAUCAGUCAGUUCUUCCCAGCCCUGGCAUCAGCAAGUACUGAUCUGCUGUCACUAAGCCAUUGGCAGUUCUGUCCCCAGCCCUGGUUCUAAAACUCCUAUGACUUCUGCUACCUAGUGCUACCCUUUGUCUUCGUGUCUGUAAAUACAGGCUAGUUAAAGCUGACUCUAUGCUGAACAAAACUAUCACCCUUAGCCCUGCUGCUGCUUCUAUUCCACUUUCUAAACCUAAUCAUUAAAAAAAAAAAAAAAAAAAAAAAAAAGACUAGAAUGAUAGUGCAACACAGUUAGUUGUCCUGGGCACAGAAGCAUAGAGAAUUAAAUAGUUCAGGCUAUCAAACUAGUUUUUCAUUUUAUGAGAGGUAGCAGGAAAAGAAUUCUAGAUGAGCUUUUUAUCACUAUUAAGUAUCUAGGUACAUCAGCUUCACUAAGAUUCAUUUUUUUCCCAGCUGGAAAAUGAAUAAACCACUGAAGAAUAUGAUAAUUAAAGUUCAUUAUUCAACAUAUAUUUGUUGAGAACUGUGUCCUAGUCUCUGGGGAUAAAGCAGUGACUAAAACAGCAAAAGGGCCUGACUUCAUGGAGCUUAUUUAUAUUCUAGAUUAGGGUGAUGAUAGAAACCAAAAUCAAAAUAUAUUUUAGAUUAGAUGGUGAUAAGUAUUAUGGAGAAAAAUAGAGCAGGGAAGAGACAAAAGGCUAUAACCCCUUCUUGGCUGAGAGUUGCUUGAAACUAGAGAUUGAUCUUUCUCCUUAUCUCUUGUGUUAUCUCAG